rnacentral:rRNA from 1 species
GGAUCAAUAUUUCGGUCAUGCCGUUGGUAUGCACUGUUAUCAUUGAUUUCUCACCUUCUAAAGAACCGUGAUGCCAUUAAUUUGGUGUUACGGGGAAUUAGGACUGUUACCUUGAAAAAAUUAGAGUGUUUAAAGCAGGCUCACGCUUGAAUACAUUAGCAUGGAAUAAUGAAAUAGGACAUCCGAUUCUAUUUUGUUGGUUUCUAGGAUCGAUGUAAUGAUUAAUAGGGAUAGUUGGG